CUCUCGCUUCUUCCGCGAUCCAACCCGACGACAUUGUACGCGACCACUUAAUGUAACUUUAAUUGUUUAAAAAGUUAAUAAAACGUAAUUUAAAUUCAAAAAGCGCAUUUGUUUUCUCCAUGCGCAAGUGGUCCUUCGAAAAAGUGAAAAAGUCGACCAGUGUUUCGAUAUUUCAGCAAAAGUGAGUUCGCGGCAAGUACGUCUGCGUGCUAGCCGGCCGUCUAUAACGGCUGGUAAAUUCGUCGUGGUUGUGCCUGGGCUGGCGCUGCUGGCCUGUAACUUCGUUCUAUCUAUAAUAGAACGAAAAUCGCACACGGAUGGGAGAGCAAAUCAUCAUCAAAAACCGCAAGUAACUCGGUAUAAGUCGAACUUUUCGACCACCGGCAUUCUCCAUUUUUCUAUACAAAGUGAAGUUUGUGCGAUCCGCAGCCAUCUUGCGGAACUUCGGAGCGGUUACUUGUCAUCUGUCAUUGGUGUCAUCUGUCACAUUGACAUUGACGUUCCAGACCAAAACAAAGUUUAUUAGUGUCUCGUGCGUUGUUUUUCAAGUGUUUGUGCAUUAAUUAUCAGUGAAAAAUGUCUACCGAAACGGAAACUUUAAAAAAACUACGAGUAAAGAGGUCUCAGUGUAAGGGAACAAUCACUAGAAUUGAGAAUUUUGUACAAGACCCCGUAAGUUUAGCUGCCGCGAGCGCCGACAUUCUUGAGGCGCGCAAGGAAAAGUUAAUUUCAACACUCAAAGAUUAUGAGAAGGUCCAGAUGGACAUACUAGGCAUCGAUGAAGGAGACAGCGAACAGGGCCACAACACAUUGCUGCACCAGGAGCGCAAUGUAAGUGUGGACAAGCCCACAAUUGUUGAUGUCAGUGCGCACCCACCAUCACCAGAUGCUGGGUUGCAUAAAAACUGAAAAUGGACCCGUAUUCCAGAAUACCAUAUUAGGAUAUAUUGUUGGAGGAAGUAUUCCUGAAAAAGGACACCACUGCGUGUUUAAUCCCUCGAGUCGCACCUCACACCAUCGUGUGGUCUUUGACGGGUCAAUGAGAUCUAGAAAUGGGACAUCGUUGAAUCAAGUCAUGCUGAAUGGGCCUGUUGUACAGAGUGAGCUUUUUGAUAUUCUUAUUUUGUUCAGGACUUAUCCAUAUAUUUUAACAUGUGACAUUCAAAAAAUGUUUCGCAAUGUUUUUAUAAAUGAACAUCAACGCGGACUUCAAAACAUUUUAUGGCGCGAUUCGCCUAAAGACCCUAUCAACUGCUUGCAGCUCCAGACUGUUACAUACGGCUUGAAAUCAAGCACAUUUUUAGCUACAAGAGUUCUCAAUGAACUAGCAAAUAUGCAUAAGGAUCAGUUCCCUUUGGCCGCACAGGCAAUUUAUAAAAAUACAUUUGUUGAUGAUGUGCUGACUGGUGCUGAUGAUGUAGAGACGCUUCAGGAGCUGAAAAAUCAAAUUGUAGAGCUUCUAAAAUUAGGUAGUUUCUCAUUACAUAAAUGGUGCUCGAACGAUUCUUCAUUAAUAGCUGAUAUACCAGUUGAGCACAGACAAAUUGACAGUGUGGAGAUCGGUCAAAAUGACACUGUGAAGACUCUAGGUCUCACACUCCAAAUUAAUUCUGAUAAAUUGACUUUCUCUUGCCCUGCAAUUGAUGAAGCAACAAUGCUCAACACAAAAAGAAAAAUUCUCAGUUUUAUAGGGAAAAUGUUUGACCCACUUGGUUUAAUAGGCCCAGUAAUUGUGG
rnacentral:misc_RNA from 1 species